rnacentral:lncRNA from 1 species
ACAGAUUAGAGAAUGUGAUCAGGGAAGAGGGAACAAGAUGGUGAAGAAAAGUAUUGAAGAAAUUUGAGAUACAGUCCAAAGAAGAGACAGUAUAAUUAUGGAGACCAUGAUGAUGUCACCUUCCCCAAAUUAGGAUUACAUGCCUCUGUGAUGUAACUCCUCAGUGCCUGAGACUUCCCUCACCAUUCACCAAUCACUAUGAGUUGUCAUUUUUUCUGUACCCCCUACAUGUUGUAUGAGAGCAGAGUUUGAAGCUGUUUUAUCGCCAUCACCCUUCCAGUGAUUAGGUC